AGUGAGCGCUGGCGGUAGGCCUAACACAUGCAAGUCGAACGGCAGCACAGUAAGAGCUUGCUCUUACGGGUGGCGAGUGGCGGACGGGUGAGGAAUACAUCGGAAUCUACUUUUUCGUGGGGGAUCACGUAGGGAAACUUACGCUAAUACCGCAUAUGACCUACGGGUGAAAGCAGGGGAUCUUCGGACCUUGCGCGAUUGAAUGAGCCGAUGUCGGAUUAGCUAGUUGGCGGGGUAAAGGCCCACCAAGGCGACGAUCCGUAGCUGGUCUGAGAGGAUGAUCAGCCACACUGGAACUGAGACACGGUCCUGACUCCUACGGGAGGCAGCAGUGGGGAAUAUUGGACAAUGGGCGGAAGCCUGAUCCAGCCAUACCGCGUGGGUGAAGAAGGCCUUCGGGUUGUAAAGCCCUUUUGUUGGGAAAGAAAAGCAGCAGGUUAAUACCCCGCUGUUCUGACGGUACCCAAAGAAUAAGCACCGGCUAACUUCGUG
rnacentral:rRNA from 1 species